GGUCCCCCGCCCGUUGGUGGCAAGGCGGCUGGACUGGAAUCCCAGCAGGCGACAUGCGAGGAGGCGGGCAGCCCAGGAGGGUUGGACACGGCAAUGUGGACCUCGCCGCUUCCACAACGAUGCUGGCUACUGAUCGCGUGCACUUCCUUGCCAAAGAAAAGAAAUUAAUGUUAUGACUGGAUGAAGACAAUUGUGAAGAAACUGCACUUUGAGGUUGUCUAUCUCUGUAUUCUGAUGGAAAAGCGUGGAGUUUAGAAGCACUGCUCACUCCUUCAGUUUCUAACAAGUUUGAGACUAUGGUUAGGUGGUGAGGAAGGCAGGCUCAGCACCCAAGCCUUGGGGAGACGCAGAAAGGGCCCAUCCCAGGCACUCAGGUGGAGCAGCUGGCUGGAGAAAGAUUUCAGAAAGGUGUGUGCCUGGGGCACCCAAAGGCAUGACCUUCCUUUCUCCUUGGCAUAGGCCUUACAACACUGAGGAAAGGCCAUGGUUUGGCAUUGGAGCCUUCAAUAGUUUUCACCCCUAUGGAUCGAAAAGAUUGUCCAAAUAGAAGCUUAUAUAGGAUGUUAAAAAGUAAACUGACAGGACUAUGAAAAUUGUCUCCCAACAGAGUACAGCUUUUUUUUUUUUUUUUUUUUUUUUUUUUUUCUGAGAAAAAACUCCAGGAUGGAGUACAGUGGUGUGAUCUUGGCUCACUGUAACCUCCACCUCCGGGGUUCAAGUGAUUCUUCUAUCUCAGCCACUCGAGUAGUUGGGACUACAAGUGCGUGCCACCAUGCUUGGCUAAUUUUUUGUAUUUUUAGUAGAGACAGCGUUUCACCAUGUUGUCCAGGAUGGUCUCAAUCUCCUGACCUUGUGAUCCGCCCGCGCCUGCCUCCCAAAGUGCUGGGAUUACAGGCGUGAGCCACUGUGCCCGGCCCAUUUUGUUAAAAAUACAGAAAUAUUGGUAAAACCAUUAUCAAAAGCAUUGUGGAGCUUUCUAAAAACUUACAAUACCACAUUAUCCAGCAAAUCCACUUCCAGAUAUAUAACCAAAGGAAAUAAAACUAGUAUCUAGAAGAGACAUCUGUGCUCCCAUAUUUAUUGCAGAAUUAUUUACAAUGACAGAUGUGCAAACAACCUAAGUAUUAAUAAAUGAAUGGA
rnacentral:lncRNA from 1 species